rnacentral:rRNA from 1 species
UCGGGAAUAUUGCACAAUGGAGGAAACUCUGAUGCAGUGACGCCGCGUAUAGGAAGAAGGUCUUUGGAUUGUAAACUAUUGUCGACAGGGAAGAAGAAAAUGACAGUACCUGUGGAGGAAGCUCCGGCUAACUACGUGCCAGCAGCCGCGGUAAUACGUAGGGAGCGAGCGUUAUCCGGAUUUAUUGGGUGUAAAGGGCGCGUAGACGGAUUUGCAAGUUGGAUGUGAAAUCCCUUGGCUCAACCAAGGAACUGCAUCCAAACUGUAAACCUUGAGUAUGGGAGAGGAAAGCGGAAUUCCUAGUGUAGCGGUGAAAUGCGUAGAUAUUAGGAGGAACACC